rnacentral:rRNA from 1 species
UAAGGAGGUGAUCCAACCGCAGGUUCCCCUACGGUUACCUUGUUACGACUUCACCCCAGUCAUGAAUCACAAAGUGGUAAGCGCCCUCCCGAAGGUUAAGCUACCUACUUCUUUUGCAACCCACUCCCAUGGUGUGACGGGCGGUGUGUACAAGGCCCGGGAACGUAUUCACCGUGGCAUUCUGAUCCACGAUUACUAGCGAUUCCGACUUCAUGGAGUCGAGUUGCAGACUCCAAUCCGGACUACGACGCACUUUAUGAGGUCCGCUUGCUCUCGCGAGGUCGCUUCUCUUUGUAUGCGCCAUUGUAGCACGUGUGUAGCCCUGGUCGUAAGGGCCAUGAUGACUUGACGUCGUCCCCACCUUCCUCCAGUUUAUCACUGGCAGUCUCCUUUGAGUUCCCGGCCGGACCGCUGGCAACAAAGGAUAAGGGUUGCGCUCGUUGCGGGACUUAACCCAACAUUUCACAACACGAGCUGACGACAGCCAUGCAGCACCUGUCUCACGGUUCCCGAAGGCACAUUCUCAUCUCUGAAAACUUCCGUGGAUGUCAAGACCAGGUAAGGUUCUUCGCGUUGCAUCGAAUUAAACCACAUGCUCCACCGCUUGUGCGGGCCCCCGUCAAUUCAUUUGAGUUUUAACCUUGCGGCCGUACUCCCCAGGCGGUCGACUUAACGCGUUAGCUCCGGAAGCCACGCCUCAAGGGCACAACCUCCAAGUCGACAUCGUUUACGGCGUGGACUACCAGGGUAUCUAAUCCUGUUUGCUCCCCACGCUUUCGCACCUGAGCGUCAGUCUUCGUCCAGGGGGCCGCCUUCGCCACCGGUAUUCCUCCAGAUCUCUACGCAUUUCACCGCUACACCUGGAAUUCUACCCCCCUCUACGAGACUCAAGCUUGCCAGUAUCAGAUGCAGUUCCCAGGUUGAGCCCGGGGAUUUCACAUCUGACUUAACAAACCGCCUGCGUGCGCUUUACGCCCAGUAAUUCCGAUUAACGCUUGCACCCUCCGUAUUACCGCGGCUGCUGGCACGGAGUUAGCCGGUGCUUCUUCUGCGGAUAACGUCAAUGAGCAAAGGUAUUAACUUUACUCCCUUCCUCCCCGCUGAAAGUACUUUACAACCCGAAGGCCUUCUUCAUACACGCGGCAUGGCUGCAUCAGGCUUGCGCCCAUUGUGCAAUAUUCCCCACUGCUGCCUCCCGUAGGAGUCUGGACCGUGUCUCAGUUCCAGUGUGGCUGGUCAUCCUCUCAGACCAGCUAGGGAUCGUCGCCUUGGUGAGCCGUUACCCCACCAACAAGCUAAUCCCAUCUGGGCACAUCCGAUGGCAAGAGGCCCGAAGGUCCCCCUCUUUGGUCUUGCGACAUUAUGCGGUAUUAGCUACCGUUUCCAGUAGUUAUCCCCCUCCAUCAGGCAGUUUCCCAGACAUUACUCACCCGUCCGCCACUCGUCAGCGAAUCAGCAAGCUGAUUCCUGUUACCGUUCGACUUGCAUGUGUUAGGCCUGCCGCCAGCGUUCAAUCUGAGCCAUGAUCAAACUCUUCAAUUU